GUAACGGCCUACCAAGUCGACGAUCCAUAGCCGGACUGAGAGGUUGAACGGCCACAUUGGGACUGAGACACGGCCCAGACUCCUACGGGAGGCAGCAGUGGGGAAUAUUGGGCAAUGGGCGCAAGCCUGACCCAGCAACGCCGCGUGAAGGAAGAAGGCCCUCGGGUUGUAAACUUCUUUUGUCAGGGACGAAGCAAGUGACGGUACCUGAAGAAUAAGCUCCGGCUAACUAC
rnacentral:rRNA from 1 species